AACGAACGCUGGCGGCAUGCCUAACACAUGCAAGUCGAACGAAACCUUCGGGUCUAGUGGCGCACGGGUGCGUAACGCGUGGGAACCUGCCCUUAGGUUCGGAAUAACUCCCCGAAAGGUGUGCUAAUACCGGAUAAGCUCUUCGGGCCAAAGAUUUAUCGCCUUUGGAUGGGCCCGCGUUGGAUUAGCUAGUUGGUAGGGUAAAAGCCUACCAAGGCGACGAUCCAGAGCUGGUCUGAGAGGAUGCUCAGCCACACUGGGACUGAGACACGGCCCAGACUCGUACGGGAGGAAGCAGUGGGGAAUAUUGGACACUGAGGGAAAGCGUGAUAAAGCCAUGCCGCGUGAGUGAUGAAGGACUUAGGGUUGUAAAGCUCUUUUACCCGGGAUGAUAAUGACAGUACCGGGAGAAUAAGCUCCGGCUAACUACGUG
rnacentral:rRNA from 1 species